UUUUUUUUUUUUUUUUUUUUUUUUUUUUUUUUUUUUUUUUUCAAAAAAACCGAGA
rnacentral:ribozyme from 15 species